GGUGAACGCUGGCGGCGUGCCUAACACAUGCAAGUCGAGCGGUGCAGUUUGAAGCUUCGGUGGAAAGCUGCAUAGCGGCGGACGGGUGAGGAAAACGUAGGAACGUGCCCCUUGGAGUUGGAUAGCCACGGGAAACUGUGGGUAAACCGACAUAGACUCGAGAGAGUAAAGGCCGAAAGGCGCCAAGGGAGCGGCCUGCGGCCCAUCAGGUAGUUGGUAGUGUAAAGGACUACCAAGCCGACGACGGGUAGCCGGUCUGAGAGGAUGGCCGGCCACAAGGGCACUGAGAGACGGGCCCUACUCCUACGGGAGGCAGCAGUGGGGGAUUUUGGACAAUGGGCGAAAGCCUGAUCCAGCGACGCCGCGUGGUAGGACGAAGCCCUUCGGGGUGUAAACUCCUUUUCUCAGGGAAAAAGGAUGAUGGUACCUGAGGAAUAAGCCCCGGCUAACUACGUG
rnacentral:rRNA from 1 species